GCGCACAGUUGAGAUGAGGGGCUGGGGGCAAAAUAGCAUUAAAAACGCAGUCAGUAGUAAUUGGAUUAUAGUUGUUGAUUGCAUUCAAAGUACUUAACACAGUGUAUUAAUCCUAAAGAUAUAUUACAUCCAGUGAAUUCUGAAGUGUGUCACUGAUAGAACAUGGGCUGUAAGAAGAAAGAACACCCUUGCAAACCUGAUCAAAUCUCCCAUGCAGUGCUGAAGUCGCUGGUGGACAGAGGGAUUAACAUCCAACAGGUCUGAAAGCCAGUGUCCCCACGGGCCCAGCAGUUAACAAAGGAGUGAAGAGGGCUAGACCAGCCACCAGCCCGCACUUCCUGAGGGAUUCCCGCCCGCCAGACGCGGUCCAAGCCGGUUCCGGACGCUGACUCAGCCAGUCCCCCAGCCCUGCGCACCAGGAGGGACGCACUCGACACAUCUGCUGCUGGUUUGGGUCCACAGUGUGACCUCUGACUCCCUGAGAGAAAAUCCUUCUGGAAAGUCGUGAGCAUCAGGUGAGUGUGGCGCUGGGCUGGCU